rnacentral:rRNA from 1 species
AGGAAUUGACGGGGGCCCGCACAAGCGGCGGAGCAUGCGGAUUAAUUCGAUGCAACGCGAAGAACCUUACCAAGGCUUGACAUAUACCGGAUCGUUCCAGAGAUGGUUCUUCCCCUUUGGGGUCGGUAUACAGGUGGUGCAUGGUUGUCGUCAGCUCGUGUCGUGAGAUGUUGGGUUAAGUCCCGCAACGAGCGCAACCCUCGUUCCAUGUUGCCAGCACGUGAUGGUGGGGACUCAUGGGAGACUGCCGGGGUCAACUCGGAGGAAGGUGGGGAUGACGUCAAAUCAUCAUGCCCCUUAUGUCUUGGGCUUCACGCAUGCUACAAUGGCCGGUACAAAGGGUUGCGAUACUGUGAGGUGGAGCUAAUCCCAAAAAGCCGGUCUCAGUUCGGAUUGAGGUCUGCAACUCGACCUCAUGAAGUCGGAGUCGCUAGUAAUCGCAGAUCAGCAACGCUGCGGUGAAUACGUUCCCGGGCCUUGUACACACCGCCCGUCAAGUCACGAAAGUCGGUAACACCCGAAGCCGGUGGCCCAACCCUUGUGGAGGGAGCCGUCGAAGGUGGGACUGGCGAUUGGGGACUAAGUCGUAACAAAGG